GGGGUUGUGGCUCAGUGGUAGAGUGCUUGCCUAGAAUGCUUGAGGUUCUGGGUUUAAUUCUUAGCACCA
rnacentral:tRNA from 1 species